UACGGAGGGGACUAGCGUUGUUCGGAAUUACUGGGCGUAAAGCGCACGUAGGCGGAUUUGUAAGUCAGGGGUGAAAUCCCGGGGCUCAACCUCGGAACUGCCUUUGAUACUGCAAAUCUCGAGUCCGGAAGAGGUGAGUGGAAUUCCUAGUGUAGAGGUGAAAUUCGUAGAUAUUAGGAGGAACACCGGUGGCGAAGGCGGAUCUCUGGGCCUUACCUGACGCUCAGGCGCGAAAGCUAGGGGAGCGAACUGG
rnacentral:rRNA from 1 species